CUAUUCGUACGACUCGAGGUGAGGCUCAGGUCCAGAUUACUAAGACCCUGACCGACACGAUCCGACGGCACUCAAUCUCGACGCACGACUCUUCAAAAGCUAAGUCAAUUCGAAUGUUAAUUUCGAAAUUGA